UGCCCCUGAAGCUCACCUGACAAUUAUUUACAUCAUUUUAUCGUAGUAGUACGUUGCCUAUUUUUUGUAGAUAUGGUGUACAAUAAAUUUCGAAGAAAAUCUGUUUUGGAUUACAAUUGUUCGUUAGUUCCAAGUAGAGAGUACGACAGGUUCUGCAUUAGGUGUGGGAUGAAAUGAUGGCUUGUGUGGAUCAUGGCACAGCACCAGCUUGCUUGACUCGUCAGGCCAAUAACCGGUGGAUUUUGGUCUUUCCGGUCUCUAGAGCGUAUUGCAAGAGUCCACUUUGAUCAGAGAAACGAGGGGCGCCGUUCUCGAUAUCUUCGGGAGCCUGGCUGAAUAAAUAGAUCGCAAACUGCCGGAAGAGAGAAAAAGUCGAUCACCUCAUAUGCAUACAGACUGGUGCAAAAUAUUCUGGGCCUGUUUAAACCAGCUGCUAUUUUUGUCAGAGAGAUCCAGCCUUGGAUUGGGCAGUGGAACGGAUAUUCUGGUGUAUAAUUUAGAGAGCAUCUCUUAUUCUCAAGAAAAAGCAAAAGAAGAAAGAUUUGAAUCAUUUGGAGAGGCAGCCCGUCAAUUGUACAGAACAAAUUUCGUCGUCUCAAUACUAAUGCAGCAUCAAUAUAAUAUGAUAUAAGUUUUUUGAUAUACCGAUAUUUGGUAUGCCAUCUGUAUUGGCUAUCGAUAUCGAACUGAUAUGGUAUGGUACGUUUUGCACUGUCUGGUACAGUAUAUUGUGGUCCAAAACUCUAAUUGAACUUCCAAACCCUAGUCAAAAUGGGACUUGAAGCUGUCUUUGAUACUUACUUAGAGACUAUACGCGCUUUGGUUGCCUGGGGUUUUUGCAUUAUAUGUCCAAUCUUUUAUAUUAAUUAGAGCCAAUACUUCACUCCCUUCCCGUCUAGGGUAGUUUUUAAGUAUGAGAGCGAAAAAAAUGACACAUCAUCAUACAAGGCUAGAUACAUGUUAGUCUUUAUCUCAAACAGACCAAUUAAAAACCGCAUC
rnacentral:lncRNA from 1 species